rnacentral:rRNA from 1 species
AUAUUGGACAAUGGGCGAAAGCCUGAUCCGGCCAUGCCGCGUGUGUGAAGAAGGCCCUCGGGUCGUAAAGCACUUUAAGUUGGGAGGANNGGCUUACAGCGAAUACCUGUGAGUUUUGACGUUACCAACAGAAUAAGCACCGGCUAACUUCGUGCCAGCAGCCGCGGUAAUACGAAGGGUGCAAGCGUUAAUCGGAACUACUGGGCGUAAAGCGCGCGUAGGUGGCUUGAUAAGUUGGAUGUGAAAUCCCCGGGCCCAACCUGGGAACUGCAUCCAAAACUGUCUGGCUAGAGUGCGGUAGAGGGUAGUGGAAUUUCCAGUGUAGCGGUGAAAUGCGUAGAUAUUGGAAGGAACACCAGUAGCGAAGGCGACUACCAGGACUGACACUGACACUGAGGUGCGAAAGCGUGGGGAGCAAACAGG